AACGCACCUUGCGCUCCUUGGUAUUCCGAGGAGCAUGCCCGUUUGAGUGUCUUGAAAUCAUCAGCCCCCCUCGGGUUUUGCUCGAUCCGACGGGGCUGGACUUGGGGGAAACCUCUUGCCGCGGCGACGCGGCUCCCCUCGAAUGCAUCGGUCGGGCCGCGCGGCCUUCCCCCUUCAGGGCGUCGUAAACGCCUCGUCCCGAAGGGGCCGCGCGCCGACCUCGGCUCGCCUCCAGAGCGGCGGCCAAACCUCUUUGAAAUCUGACCUCAAAUCGGGUAGGACUACCCGCUGAACUUAA
rnacentral:misc_RNA from 1 species